GCGUCAUUGGCUUAGUGGCAGCAGUUCGUCUGCCUUGUAAACAGAAGGUCACUGGUUCGAUUCCAGCAUGGGGCA
rnacentral:tRNA from 1 species